rnacentral:rRNA from 1 species
UACGUAGGUGGCAAGCGUUGUCCGGAUUUACUGGGCGUAAAGAGCGCGCAGGCGGUCGUUCAAGUCGCGUGUGAAAGCCCCCGGCUCAACUGGGGAGGGUCACGCGAUACUGAUCGACUCGAAGGCAGGAGAGGGAAGUGGAAUUCCCGGUGUAGUGGUGAAAUGCGUAGAUAUCAGGAGGAACACCAAUGGCGAAGGCAGCUCGCUGGAACGGUACUGACGCUGAGGCGCGAAAGCGUGGGGAGCAAACAGG